AGCGAACGCUGGCGGCAGGCCUAACACAUGCAAGUCGAACGGACCCUUCGGGGUUAGUGGCGGACGGGUGAGUAACACGUGGGAACGUGCCCUUUGGUUCGGAACAACUCAGGGAAACUUGAGCUAAUACCGAAUGUGCCCUUCGGGGGAAAGAUUUAUCGCCAUUGGAGCGGCCCGCGUCUGAUUAGCUAGUUGGUGGGGUAAUGGCCCACCAAGGCUACGAUCAGUAGCUGGUCUGAGAGGAUGAACAGCCACAUUGGGACUGAGACACGGCCCAAACUCCUACGGGAGGCAGCAGUGGGGAAGCUUGCGCAAUGGGCGAAAGCCUGACGCAGCCAUGCCGCGUGAAUGAUGAAGGUCUUAGGAUUGUAAAAUUCUUUCACCGGGGACGAUAAUGACGGUACCCGGAGAAGAAGCCCCGGCUAACUUCGUGCCAGCCGCCGCCGUAAGAC
rnacentral:rRNA from 1 species